AAAAUGCGAUAAGUAAUGUGAAUUGCAGAAUUCAGUGAAUCAUCGAAUCUUUGAACGCACAUUGCGCCCGCCAGUAUUCUGGCGGGCAUGCCUGUUCGAGCGUCAUUUCAACCCUCAAGCCCCCGGGUUUGGUGUUGGGGAUCGGGCUGCGGUUCUACCGCGUCCCGGCCCCGAAAUCUAGUGGCGGUCUCGCUGCAGCCUCCAUUGCGUAGUAGCUAACACCUCGCAACUGGAACGCGGCGCGGCCAAGCUGUUAAACCCCCGACUUCUGAAUGUUGACCUCGGAUCAGGUAGGAAUACCCGCUGAACUUAAGC
rnacentral:misc_RNA from 1 species